UACGUAGGGUGCGAGCGUUGUCCGGAUUUAUUGGGCGUAAAGAGCUCGUAGGCGGUUUGUCGCGUCGGCCGUGAAAUCUCCACGCUUAACGUGGAGCGUGCGGUCGAUACGGGCAGACUUGAGUUCGGUAGGGGAGACUGGAAUUCCUGGUGUAGCGGUGAAAUGCGCAGAUAUCAGGAGGAACACCGGUGGCGAAGGCGGCAUCCUGGACCGGUAUUGACGCUGAGGCGCGAAAGCCAGGGGAGCAAACGGG
rnacentral:rRNA from 1 species